rnacentral:rRNA from 1 species
GACGAACGCUGGCGGCGUGCUUAACACAUGCAAGUCGAACGGAAAGGCCCUGCUUUUGUGGGGUGCUCGAGUGGCGAACGGGUGAGUAACACGUGAGUAACCUGCCCUUGACUUUGGGAUAACUUCAGGAAACUGGGGCUAAUACCGGAUAGGAGCUCCUGCUGCAUGGUGUGGGUUGGAAAGUUUCGGCGGUUGGGGAUGGACUCGCGGCUUAUCAGCUUGUUGGUGGGGUAGUGGCUUACCAAGGCUUUGACGGGUAGCCGGCCUGAGAGGGUGACCGGCCACAUGGGGACUGAGAUACGGACCAGACUCCUAAGGGAGGCAGCAGGGGGGAAUAUUGCACAAUGGGCGGAAGCCUGAUGCAGCAACGCCGCGUGCGGGAUGACGGCCUUCGGGUGGUAAACCGCUGUCGCCUGUGACGAAGCGUGAGUGACGGUAAUGGGUAAAGAAGCACCGGCUAACUACGUG